rnacentral:rRNA from 1 species
AAUCAACGCUGGCGGCGUGCCUCAGACAUGCAAGUCGAACGAUUAAAGCUCUCUUCGGAGAGUGUAUAGAGUGGCGCACGGGUGAGUAACACGUAAGUAAUCUACCCUCGAGUGGGGAAUAACGUCCGGAAACGGACGCUAAUACCGCAUAAUGCAGCGGCACCGCAAGGUGACAGUUGUUAAAGAUUUAUCGCUUGAGGAGGAGCUUGCGGCAGAUUAGCAGUUGGUAAGGUAAUGGCUUACCAAGGCUACGAUCUGUAACCGGUCUAAGAGGACGGUCGGUCACACUGACACUGAAUAACGGGUCAGACUCCUACGGGAGGCAGCAGUCGGGAAUUUU